rnacentral:snRNA from 1 species
AUACUUACCUGAGGGGAGACACCAUGAUCAGGAAGGUGGUUUUCCCAGAGCGAGGCUCAUCCAUUGCACUUGGGAUGUGCUGACCCCUGCAAUUUCCCCAAAUGCGGGAAACUCAACUGCAUAAUUUGUGGUGAGGGGGGACUGCGUUCGUGCUCUCCCGUU